CGCAGAUACUGACGACUCUAUGAGGAACGGAGAGAUUGCAUCGUCAUUCGGAGGCGUACGGGCGUGCGCCUCUAUGUGUGUCGGUCGUUUCGGCGAUUCGGCGCGCACGGGACGCGUCUGUCGACGUCCGUCGACGGCGUGCACUUCUCUCUUAGUAAUGCAUCGCGACCCGUUCGGGGUCGGCCUAAGCGCCACUCGGGAGUCCGUCGGUGAGCGUCUCGGCGUUCGCUGGCGUACCGUGUCGGUUUGCCGGCCGGCCGUUGCGGACGGUAUUAAUGAUGGAUAAUACGCUUCAAUGCGAAUCGCGCACGCGUUUACACGCGCGUCCGGCCCGACGCAAGCUAGCGUCCCGAUGGAUGUCCUGCCACAGUGCGGACGUACGUCGGUCGUUGCUGUUUGUCGCCGCCGUGCAGUCUCGGACUGUGCGCGUCUCUGUCUGCGAUGAUUCUGUUUCGGGCACUCGCAGGACCCGUCUUGAAACACGGACCAAGGAGUCUAGCAUGUGUGCGAGUCAUUGAGUUUGAUACAAAUGACAAAACUGAAAGGCGCAACGAAAGUGAAGGCGCGCGCUUGUCGCGCGCUCAGGGAGGAUGGAGCGUCGGUCUCGGUCGACCUCUCGCACUCCCUAGGCGUCUCGUUUCCAAUCAGUGAAUGCGGGCGCGCUAUGAGCACAGAUGCUGGGACCCGAAAGAUGGUGAACUAUGCCUGGUCAGGUCGAAGUCAGGGGAAACCCUGAUGGAGGACCGUAGCGAUUCUGACGUGCAAAUCGAUCGUCGGAACUGGGUAUAGGGGCGAAAGACUAAUCGAACCAUCUAGUAGUGUUUUUCCCUCUUCCCGAA
rnacentral:rRNA from 1 species